AGAGUUUGAUCCUGGCUCAGAACGAACGCUGGCGGCAGGCCUCAAACAUGCAAGUCUAGGGGGUGUAGCAAUACAUCACCGGCGGACGGGUGCGUAACGCGUGGGAAUAUACCUAUUGGUUCGGAACAACUGAGGGAAACUUCAGCUAAUACCGAAUGUGUCCUAACGGAGAAAGAUUUAUCGCCAAUAGAUUAGCCCGCGUUCGAUUAGCUAGUUGGUGGGGUAACGGCUCACCAAGGCGACGAUCGAUAGCUGUUCUGAGAGGAAGAUCAGCCACACUGGGACUGAGACACGGCCCAGACUCCUACGGGAGGCAGCAGUUGGGAAUCUUGGACAAUGGGGGAAACCCUGAUCCAGCCAUGCCGCGUGAGUGAUGAAGGCCUUCGGGUUGUAAAACUCUUUCGCGCACGACGAUAAUGACGGUAGUGCGAGAAGAAGCUCCGGCUAACUUCGUGCCAGCAGCCGCGGUAAUACGAAGGGGGCUAGCGUUGUUCGGAAUUACUGGGCGUAAAGCGCGCGCAGGCGGUCUUCCAAGUCAGUGGUGAAAGCCCGGAGCUCAACUCCGGAACUGCCAUUGAAACUGUUAGACUUGAGUAUGAGAGAGGUGAGUGGAAUUCCCAGUGUAGAGGUGAAAUUCGUAGAUAUUGGGAAGAACACCGGUGGCGAAGGCGGCUCACUGGCUCAUUACUGACGCUCAGGCGCGACAGCGUGGGGAUCAAACAGGAUUAGAUACCCUAGUAGUCC
rnacentral:rRNA from 1 species